rnacentral:rRNA from 1 species
UGGGGAAUAUUGGACAAUGGGCGAAAGCCUGAUCCAGCCAUGCCGCGUGUGUGAAGAAGGUCUUCGGAUUGUAAAGCACUUUAAGUUGGGAGGAAGGGCAGUAAGCGAAUACCUUGCUGUUUUGACGUUACCGACAGAAUAAGCACCGGCUAACUCUGUGCCAGCAGCCGCGGUAAUACAGAGGGUGCGAGCGUUAAUCGGAUUUACUGGGCGUAAAGCGUGCGUAGGCGGCUAAUUGAGUCGGAUGUGAAAUCCCCGAGCUUAACUUGGGAAUUGCAUUCGAUACUGGUUAGCUAGAGUGUGGGAGAGGAUGGUAGGAUUCCAGGUGUCGCGGUGAAAUGCGUAGAGAUCUGGAGGGAUACCGAUGGCGAAGGCAGCCAUCUGGCCUAACACUGACGCUGAGGUACGAAAGCAUGGGGAGCAAACAGG